GUACCGCGAGGUAAAGAUGA
rnacentral:snRNA from 1 species